UACAGAGGGUGCAAGCGUUAAUCGGAAUUACUGGGCGUAAAGCGUGCGUAGACGGUUAUGUAAGUCGGGUGUGAAAGCCCCGGGCUCAACCUGGGAAUUGCAUUCGAGACUGUGUAGCUAGGGUACGGAAGAGGGAAGCGGAAUUUCAGGUGUAGCGGUGAAAUGCGUAGAUAUCGGGAGGAACACCAGUGGCGAAGGCGACUACCUGGCCUGUUCUUGACGCUGAGGCGCGAAAGCUAGGGGAGCAAACGGG
rnacentral:rRNA from 1 species